UCCCACCUAGAGAUCAAUUGGAAAGAGUCUGUGUGAAAAAUGGAUUCUAAAUACUGGGGCAUUUUUGUUUAAUGCACAUGGUGUAUUUUUAGGGAGGUAUUGUUCUUCAUAACCUCAUGACUUUAUGUAGUCCAGAUCAGGGUUGCAAAAUUCCAGGAAUCUUCUAAGAUAGAAACUUUCCAUGGGAAUUAACAGGAAUAUAUGGACAUUUUUGGGAAUUAAUGUGAAUAAACUGGGACUGUGCAAAAUUGCAAGUUAGCCUUUAACAGGGAACUUAAAUGUAGUUAGAAAAAAACACAUUGACCUAUUAACUCUAUCUCUCUACCAUGUGCAGAUACUCCCUGGAGCAGACACUCCCUGCUGUAUUGGGAAUGUGUUAAUGACAAACCACGCUUCAACAGCCUAUCCAUUUCCAUUGCCCCUAGUCUGGACCUGCAUUCAUUCAGACCCAUCAAAACUGGUUGAUGCUUCAGAUUUCAGUUUAUGGAAAGCAAAUCUUUUUACCUCCAGAUCCUCAAACUAAAGACCAAUUUGACCUGCAGGAGUAUUAACACUACCUUACAGAAUGGGUAGAUGGAUUUCAAUAUGUUAAUGUAAAGGGCUAAAACCCGCCUUCAAGUGGGCGUCCUGAACGGAGCAGGUGUUUCGGAAUCAUAUUAAUUGGGGUUUUCUCAUCCACAGGUGAGCUGUUGCCUACACUAACGGCUGGGAUUCUGGUUUUGGCGAGCUGGACAUUGGUUGCAUGCAAGCACACGCCAUGUUUAUUCUUCACACCGUUGUAGUUUUAGCCUAGGUAAUAAUAAUCCGUGGGUCGACCCACGGAUUAUUAUUAACAGAAUCCCAGCCAUUAAUGUAGGCAACAGCUCACCUGCGGAUGAGAAAACUCCAAUUAAUAUGAAUCCGAAACACCUGUUCCGUUCAGGGGGAGUAUAUUAACAUUUGUCAUCGAGGAUUUAACCACACAUUGAUUCAGUAAACGACUUAAGCAGCAAGUUCAGAUCUCACAAAGUAAAGGUAAUUACAGUAUCAAAUAUGUUUUUACAUGUAUUCAUUUUGCCGAAUUUGUUUAUCCAAAGCAACUUAUUUUGACAUAUCUCACUCAUGUCUGAGCCUUACCAGCUUCCCCAGGAUCUCGGCCCCAACAUGGCUAUGGAACUUCAUGUCUACAUCCACGCAGAAGAGGUAGUCUGCCUCGUGGCGAAUCCGCUCCUCAAUAGCCACCUGGAUGAACUCCAUCCUUCUCAUGGAGAUCUCCUGCCAGCGACUGAAUUUGGGUACUUUGAUGAUGCUGAUUUGUCUGCCUGCUGCUAGAGUCACAUUGGGCACAGCGGCCGGCUGGUCGGUGAAAACAUAGAAGUGGACGUUCAGUCCCACCUGAAAACAGAGCCAGAGGCUUGAGUCUCACAGUGGUGGUUGUUCACCGAGAAGCCUUUUCAUUUUACUGUUUCAAAUAAGCAGUAUGGAUGUUCCAAAGACAUUGUUUAUUAUUAUGUUAUGUUAUUAUCCUUUAUAUAACUCGGAUCAUAACUUAUUUCACACCAUGUAGUGCUUUUCUGCUGUCUCCAAGAAGUCUUGCAGGUAACGAGUGUAUCUGAAUGAAGAGAAAGGAAAAUGAAUAGUAACUUUAAUGUAGAUACGGUACAAAGACAUUUGUUUUACACAGUGUGUUGUGGAAUGUUACAUUGUAAAAGCUGUACUGUUGUGAUAAAUACUUUGUAAUCCAGACUUGGUGUGUAAGGCAUGCUCAGAGUUUUAGCAUUGAUAUAGAACAAUAUCAUGAACUACAGUAUGGAAAAUAUGGAAAAGUCAACUUUCUGAAACAC